AUGGGUUUUCCCAAACUCUUCCUCCUCUUCUUCCUCUUGGUCUCAAACCCAUCUCGAUCUUAUGCUGCAGAGAAUGUGAGUGUGACUCUCUGCUACGAGACACUCUGUCCUUAUUGUGCCGAUUUCAUUGUGAACCAUUUGACCAAGAUCUUUGACAAUGGGCUCAUAUCCGUCAUCAACCUCCGAAUGGUCCCUUGGGGCAACGCUUGGCUCAAUUCUGAUGGCUCUUUCGCCUGCCAACAUGGAACAGAUGAAUGCUUAACACAAUUGAGGCCUGUACCAUCACCAUCUAUCCUAAUGUGAAUCGACAUUUUAGAUUCAUCCACUGCGUUGAGCAGCUCACAUUGCACAACAAGCACGAAAAAUGAGCCGAUUGCUUUGAAAUGUUGAAGUUAGGGACUGUUCCUAUCGAUUGCUACAACAGUGGAUAUGGCAAUCAGAUUGAAACAAAAUAUGCAAAGGAAACUGCUCAGCUUAAUCCACCACAUAGAUUUGUGCCAUGGUUGGUUGUCAAUAAUAAACCACUUGCAGAUAAAGUUACUUUGUCACUUUACUAUGACACUUUGAGCAUAUCUUGUGCUACCUUCAUUGUAAAAAAUCUUGCUAAGAUUUUCGAUGAUAAUCUCAUCACCAUCUUUAAUCUCAGACUGGUUCCUUGGGGUGAUGUAUACGCCAACAAAUCGAACAACAGCACUGCUUUCUGUCAGCAUAGGCCAGAUCAAUGCAAGUUGAAUUCUCUGCAAUCAUGCGCUAUCGAUGUUAUGCAUGAUGUGAACAAGCACUUUGCUUUGAUUUACUACAUAGAAUUUCUGGCCAUAGAGGGAAGGCAAAAGGAGUGGGAAACUUGCUUCAGAUCAUUGGGACUGCCUAAGAAACACAUUUUGGAUUGCUACAAUUGUUCAAAUGCAACAAAGCUUGAACAAAACUAUGGCAAUGAAAUUAUGCACCUCAAUCCACCUCUAGAGUUUGUACCAUGGCUGGUUUUGAAUAAUCAACCUACUGGAAAUGACUAUGAAAAUUUUGCCGGCUAUGUGUGCAAGGCUUACAAAUGUAAAAUUGUGUCCAUGACAUGA